rnacentral:rRNA from 1 species
GACGAACGCUGGCGGCGUGCCUAAUACAUGCAAGUCGAGCGAAUUUACGAGAGCUUGCUCUCGUGAAUUAGCGGCGGACGGGUGAGUAACACGUGGGCAACCUGCCUAUAAGACUGGGAUAACUUCGGGAAACCGAAGCUAAUACCGGAUAAUUCACAUCUACUCAUGUAGAUGUGCUGAAAGACGGUUUACGCUGUCACUUAUAGAUGGGCCCGCGGCGCAUUAGCUAGUUGGUGAGGUAACGGCUCACCAAGGCCACGAUGCGUAGCCGACCUGAGAGGGUGAUCGGCCACACUGGGACUGAGACACGGCCCAGACUCCUACGGGAGGCAGCAGUAGGGAAUCUUCCGCAAUGGACGAAAGUCUGACGGAGCAACGCCGCGUGAGUGAUGAAGGUUUUCGGAUCGUAAAACUC